UACGUAGGGGGCAAGCGUUGUCCGGAUUUAUUGGGCGUAAAGAGCGUGUAGGCGGCCAGAUAGGUCGGUUGUGAAAACUGGAGGCUCAACCUCCAGACGUCGACCGAAACCAUCUGGCUAGAGUCCGGAAGAGGAGAGUGGAAUUCCUGGUGUAGCGGUGAAAUGCGCAGAUAUCAGGAAGAACACCCGUGGCGAAGGCGGCUCUCUGGGACGGUACUGACGCUGAGGUACGAAAGCGUGGGGAGCGAACAGG
rnacentral:rRNA from 1 species